AACGAACGCUGGCGGCAGGCUUAACACAUGCAAGUCGAACGCCCCGCAAGGGAGUGGCAGACGGGUGAGUAACGCGUGGGAACGUACCUUUCAGUUCGGAAUAACUCAGGGAAACUUGUGCUAAUACCGGAUACGCCCGCAAGGGGAAAGAUUUAUCGCUGAAAGAUCGGCCCGCGUUGGAUUAGCUAGUUGGUGGGGUAAAGGCCUACCAAGGCGACGAUCCAUAGCUGGUCUGAGAGGAUGAUCAGCCACACUGGGACUGAGACACGGCCCAGACUCCUACGGGAGGCAGCAGUGGGGAAUAUUGGACAAUGGGCGCAAGCCUGAUCCAGCCAUGCCGCGUGUGUGAUGAAGGCCUUAGGGUUGUAAAGCACUUUCACCGAUGAAG
rnacentral:rRNA from 1 species